rnacentral:rRNA from 1 species
GCUCAGAUUGAACGCUGGCGGCAGGCUUAACACAUGCAAGUCGAGCGGGGGAAGGUAGCUUGCUACUGGACCUAGCGGCGGACGGGUGAGUAAUGCUUAGGAAUCUGCCUAUUAGUGGGGGACAACAUCUCGAAAGGGAUGCUAAUACCGCAUACGUCCUACGGGAGAAAGCAGGGGAUCUUCGGACCUUGCGCUAAUAGAUGAGCCUAAGUCGGAUUAGCUAGUUGGUGGGGUAAAGGCCUACCAAGGCGACGAUCUGUAGCGGGUCUGAGAGGAUGAUCCGCCACACUGGGACUGAGACACGGCCCAGACUCCUACGGGAGGCAGCAGUGGGGAAUAUUGGACAAUGGGGGGAACCCUGAUCCAGCCAUGCCGCGUGUGUGAAGAAGGCCUUAUGGUUGUAAAGCACUUUAAGCGAGGAGGAGGCUACUUUAGUUAAUACCUAGAGAUAGUGGACGUUACUCGCAGAAUAAGCACCGGCUAACUCUGUGCCAGCAGCCGCGGUAAUACAGAGGGUGCGAGCGUUAAUCGGAUUUACUGGGCGUAAAGCGUGCGUAGGCGGCUUAUUAAGUCGGAUGUGAAAUCCCCGAGCUUAACUUGGGAAUUGCAUUCGAUACUGGUGAGCUAGAGUAUGGGAGAGGAUGGUAGAAUUCCAGGUGUAGCGGUGAAAUGCGUAGAGAUCUGGAGGAAUACCGAUGGCGAAGGCAGCCAUCUGGCCUAAUACUGACGCUGAGGUACGAAAGCAUGGGGAGCAAACAGGAUUAGAUACCCUGGUAGUCCAUGCCGUAAACGAUGUCUACUAGCCGUUGGGGCCUUUGAGGCUUUAGUGGCGCAGCUAACGCGAUAAGUAGACCGCCU